rnacentral:rRNA from 1 species
AUGAAGCUAGUGUUCAUGAAAUGUUGGAGUUUUUUUUAUCAUAUCAAUGUUGUGAACAUAAGGGUUGUGAGAGAUGUUGAACCUGCAAUAAGUACACAGGCUAUUCAGAAUUACAUGAACACUCAAGAAAGUUGCUAUGUGCAAAAGGUUGUGGAGCAAUCUGAGCUUCAGAAUGAGAUAGAUGAUAGAAAGGCUCAACUUGAGAGGAGCAGGAUUCAAAGAGAGUCAGAUUUGAACCACUUUGAAGGAGACAUUAAAGUGUCUAAAUUUUGUUCUGAUGAUUCAGUUCAUUCAGAUGGGAGUGCUGAAGUUGUUCAACAAAUGGAAAUAGAGUGUGCCUCUGAAGAUGAAAUAUCAUUGCCAAGUACUGCUAUUGUGAAACAUGUGAAGAACCCUGGGCCAACUAGCAGAUGUCACAAUGAGGUAGAGAAAAAACGUUUUGAAGAUUGGUUUCCUGAAGCAGAUGAGUUUUGUUUUGCUGGUGAUGCAGGAUAA